rnacentral:rRNA from 1 species
CACGUAGGGGGCAAGCGUUGUCCGGAUUUAUUGGGCGUAAAGAGCUCGUAGGUGGUUCGGUAAGUCGGGUGUGAAACCUCCAGGCUCAACCUGGAGACGCCACCCGAUACUGCUGUGACUGGAGUCCGGUAGGGGAGCGUGGAAUUCCUGGUGUAGCGGUGAAAUGCGCAGAUAUCAGGAGGAACACCAGCGGCGAAGGCGGCGCUCUGGGCCGGUACUGACGCUGAGGCACGAAAGCGUGGGGAGCAAACAGG